CCACCAAUGAGGUCAGGUCAGCGGAUCGCCUCAGGCAGCACCAGGUAGGGGCAAGAGGGGGGCAGAGGAAGGGCCUUAGGCAAUGAGCGCUUUUUAUUGUGGCAAAGGGGUUAGGUUAAGAAAGUGGCAUUGGGGGUGGGGGGGGGGGGGGGGCUCUGUUUCAGUUUUUGCCUCAGGCAGCAGAAAGUGCACCCCUGGCGGAACAAGCUACCCCAU